UCUCCCAAGCACAGAGAGAAGGGCUUAUUUUUAUCCUGAUAAAGAAAAAAGGAGGAAACUUUUCCCUUUUGCGCUCCUCCGGCGAUUGGGGAUUCGGGAUUUCGGGUGGCGGAGGCGGCACGGCAGGAAGGGCCCGGUGCGGCGCGGAUCGACCGCCACUGAGCAGAGCUUAGGCGGACGCGCCGCGUCCGAUCCGCCGGAGAGUCUAUGACCUACUCUCCUUCUGCAACGCAACUUCGUGAAGGACAUACUGGGGGUUUGACAUUAUAAUGAUUCUUAGACCCUUCCCUGGCUUCUACUACAGAGUGGAAAUUGAAUUUUUAGUGUUCACUCAUAAUGACAAGUGACAAAGGAAGGACUUCAAAGAAGGCUGCUGAGGCUUCACCCUCUGCUUUGGCUGUGCCUGAUGGAGGAGCCAGCAGUGGACGGAAGAAGGGACGGCUGCCCAAUGGGAGGACAACAGGUCCAGCAAGGCGCUCAACCAAAGGGAAUUGGACCCUGGAAGAGGAUGAUAUACUUCGGAAGGCUGUUGAAAUCCACAAAGGAAAAAACUGGAAAAAAAUAGCUGAGUGUUUUCCUGAUAGGACCGACGUUCAAUGCUUGCAUAGGUGGCAGAAGGUUUUGAAUCCUGAGCUAGUCAAAGGGCCAUGGUCUAAAGAAGAAGAUGACAUUAUUAUUAAGAUGGUAAAGGAAUAUGGACCCACAAAAUGGUCAGCCAUUUCCCAAGCUUUGCCAGGACGCAUUGGAAAGCAAUGCCGUGAAAGGUGGUACAAUCACCUUAAUCCUGGGAUAAAUAAAGAUGCAUGGACACAAGAAGAGGAGAUAAGACUCAUUCAAGCUCAUCAAGUCUAUGGAAACAAAUGGGCUGAACUGUCAAAAUAUCUACCAGGAAGGACGGACAAUGCAAUAAAAAAUCAUUGGCACAGCUCAGUGAAGAAGAAAUUUGAAUCAUAUAGAGCAGAAGGUUUACUGGCUCAGUUUCAGGGCCUACAAGCUGUUGUAUAUCCUACAGGGAGCCUAAAUGUUGAUUCGUCAUCUACAGUAACCCAGCAAAGUGAAGGUAGCGGUUUGAAUGUUAUUCGGGAGGUAGAAGAUUCCUCCGAGUUUAGUCAAUCAGCAUUUGCCAAUGUUUCUUGUUCUCAAGUGGAGCAAGUUGAUGAGGCUAUGGGCUAUCAUGCCCUAGUGCAUUUCAAUGAUGAAGGAGCACAUGAAUCUUACUCUUCAUGUCAGGACACAUGCUAUAAUAACGCCAAUAGUGAUGCUUCUGCUUUACCAGAGACUCACCACUUGCUAUCUUUCUCUGAAAAUGAUCUAGAUAAACACUUGCAGCAAGAAUUUUCUCAAGCCGACUUUGAUCCUCAGUCCGAACUGUGGCAGGAUAUUUCUUUUCAGAAUCUUCUUAAUGCACCAGAUUCCGUCAAUGCCGAUUCUUUCUUGAGUUCAAAUUACCAGCACAGUGCAUAUUCAUCUGAAGUUGCAAACAAUUUUGAAGAACCACUUUAUCCAUUGCAGACACUGAACUCAUCAGGCAUAGCAGGCGCCGUGCAUCAUCAGAGUUCUGAUACAUCAUUAGCACCAUCCUUUAUUUGUUCAGGCAGUGAAAACGAGACUGUUUCCUGUGAUCCGCCUAUGGUACCAGAAUCGAGAAAGCAACAGCUGACAAGUGUUGAAGAGUCAUGUUUGGAACCUACAACCAUGGGGAGAGAAGCAUCACCAAUCCAUAGUGAAUCUGUGAUAGACAAAAAGCAGCAUCCAGAAUGCUAUGAACCUCUUUGCUUCUCAGGUGUUGAAGUUCCAUUUGUCAGCUGUGAGCUCGUAAGCUCCAGUGACCUCCCAGAAUAUAGUCCUUUUGGCAUUCGAGAGUUGAUGAGGUCAUCCAUGAACAUCUCCACUCCACUAAGGUUAUGGGGCUCUCCUACUCGUGAUGGGAGUCCUGAUGAUGUGCGGAAAAGUGCUGCCACAAGCUUUAUAUGCACACAGUCAAUAAUGAAGAAGCGGCAGAGAGAGCUCCCUUCACCUAUUCCAGAUGUAAGGCGUGCAAAGAAAAUGGAUACUGAAAAGGAUUGUGGUAAGUCAGCCAUGCCAUUCACAAGAACUGAGAUAUCUUGUGUAGAUGCCACUGGAGAUGAAUCACUUGAUUUGUUUUCUCAUGAAAAUGAGGAAAAUUCCAAAGAAGCCACUUAUCAGGGUAAAACUGAAGAAAAUGGAAAGAGAAAUAAUUUGGAGAAAGGGGAGGUAUGUUCAGUGAGGGAUGCCACCAACAAUGUAGUGUCCUCGGGGUUUCUAACAGAGAGCAACGCCAAUAGCUUCACUACACCUAAGAAUGGCCCCAAUCCAGAAAGUCGGAAGCUAAAUACCACUGCAAAAUCUUUUUCUAAAGACAUAAUAUCUUCUCGAUCAAAACCAGCAGAACUUCUUGUUGAAAAAUCUUCAGCGUGUAUCAAUGCUGAUUAUGAGUAUGUAAACAUAUUGGCUGAUACCCCAGGAAUCAAAAGAGGGUUAGAAUCUCCUUCUGCGUGGAAGUCCCCUUUGUUCAAAAACUUUCAGGAUGUAUUCUUCAUGAGCCCAGCAAGCACAACUUUUGAUGCUCUAGGAUUGGUGAAGCAAAUAAAUGAACGGAAUGCUCCUGCUUUGGAGGAAACCCAUGAGCUCCUAGCAAGUGGGACCUUACAAAACCAAUGCAGCGAGGAAGACUCUGAUAAGGAAAACAUAGACCAUAUUAUUAUCAAAAAGGAACAUGUAACAACCAACCAGCCAUCCAAAGUCAUGUCCGAGGCAAGGAUUCUUGAUUUUAACGAGUGCACAACACCUGUGAAGAAGAAAGAAGAUAACAGAUGUCGCACUUUAGGAAGAUCUCCAACUUCCUCUUAUCUCUUGAAGAAUGUGCGCUAAAGUUUUGGGCAAGUGUCUCUUUGAAAUGCUUUUCUGAUGCACAAUCAGAAUGUACAUACAUGCCUGUAGUUCCUAUUAAAUGAGGCUGGCUGAAGGAAGCUCUCACGAAGGUGGUACGCCACAAUGGCGAUGGCGGCACCGCCAGGGUCGCUGUAGGCCUGGUCCCAUGGCACGGAACCAAAGCUUCUGAAUAGGAUAUCAGUUCUGACCAUAUCAGGAAGGCGAGAAGGAGGCAGGAAUGAGACUCUGUUUCGUGGCAGUGGCGGCGUCUAUGUUUUUCUUUCUCUAGUCUAUUCUGUAUCACGACUGAAGAGAUAUCAUGGCAUAUGUCUAUGUAGUUCUGGGAUUCGUUAGAAGUAUAGCCUAGUCCUCUCGAU